GUGUUGUUACAAUGUUGUCAUGUGAAAUUAAACGUGUCCAUUGGUUUAGCAUUGUUGACAUUGGUUUAGCAUUGAGUGAUGAACUUCGAAUAUUCCACCAUAAUUUCAAUGCGGCUACAUUAAUUAUUUUAGGCUGGCGGUUGUGCCGUUGCCAGAGAUAUAUAACAGGUGUUUUCGAAGUUGUUCUUAUAACAAAAGUCACAAGCUACUUACUUAUUUUUACGUUUGGAGGCCUCAUGUUUUUUCGGCAUAAUUUCUUCUUGCCUUAUCCUACUUUUUGUUUGCUGGAAAUCUUGCUAGGCACCAUGUUGACACAAGGGAGGUGACAAGCAUGACCAUUAAAAGGUUAUCUGCACAAAGCCAAAAAGGAGUCGGAGUCUGUCUUCACAGUGGGACUUGGCAGAGCAAAAAAGAAGAUCAGAGAGAGAGGAGGAUUGGGAAGAGUGUGAUGGAGAGGUGGCGUGCUACUCAUGUCCUCUUCAGUUCAGUCACACACAGGCUGGCAUGAAGAUACACAAUGCAAGUGGGUAGCACUCUCACAUCCGAGGCCACCAGGGGCUAUAUCCCACUGAAUCAAAAGGCGGCAGAGAGUGGAAGCAGGGUGGCAUGGCGUGCUGGCCUGCGAGUGGAGGUGAGGACAGAGAGCAUGGCUGAAGGCUAGGGAACACGAAGACCUCAGCCAGCUGCCCCGAGAGCGAGGACAGUCAGAGGGUUGGAGAGCCUCACUGCUAAAGGGAUGAGACUGAACCCCUUUGACUUUUACUGUGACUAGAGAGUGGCUCAUCCCAUCUGGUCUCCUGCAUUAGGAGUAGUAUUGUCUGUGUAGGGAGCUACUUGCAGACUGCUUCACCAAGGCAGUGUGUGGUGUGGUUAGAACAUACUGUAUGAAGGACACUGCGCACACUGCAGUACAUCACUUCAAAUACACAAACCUCUAGUUUGUUUAAAUUGAGGCCAUGUUUUGGAUACCACACUCUCCAUGUAUGUGCGUCAUCAUGUCAAAAAGCAUUCAAAUUCUGGUUUAUAUUUGGUUGCAGAUGCGUCAUAGUCAGAGCAAUCCUUAGGCGAACCUGUCUAUUAUAUAUUCUGAAAUUUGGUUCAUUGAGGUGACUUUCUGACUCACUGACUUGUUCAGUUGCUCUGCUGGAGAUGGGCUGAGAGCUCUUUAUGUGUCAUGUUUAUUUGAAAUCUUAUUGGUUAGAUUUGGAGAUGCAGGAUUUCAUGAUCUUUUGUACUCUGGCAGCAGCAGCCUGCAGAGACAGACUUGAAUUUCACACUUGCUGAACAUUUGCAACUGAUUAUUGAGAGAGUACUUUAGCUGAGAAAAUGUUACUGCCAAACUUCUAUCAAGACAGCCAGUGUCAUUUGCCUUGUGUCUUUGAUGUGCAUCAUCGAUGUACGUGUCGGCUGCAAUAGAACCAUUCAGAAUACAUUCUGAUUGGUUCUGGUCAUUAAAUCACUGUCACGUUUCUCCAAACAGCAAGAGAGAAAACCCAACGUUCAAGGCUGGUUUCCACUGAGAUGAUUAAAAACCUAUUGUCUUUCUCCUCUCCCUCAGCCACAGGAGGUCAGCCUGUGGCAGAUACAUAUCAGCCUCUAUUGAGUGGAAUUAAUUGGAAAUAGCUGGACUGUGCCGUGGUGGUACAGUCUCUCUCCCUCUUCAGUUCCUACCCCUGGCUGGCUCCAUAAUCCCCCUUUUCACAGGGAGGGGAGGUGGCUUGUGCUGCAGUUCCUUGAUAAGACAAUGUUAAUAUUCUGUGUGGUGAGCUAUGCAUCAGAGCGCCGGUCAGAGGAUUGGAACGGCACGUCGCGGGAAUACCCAUGAGCGCAGCUGUGUCGGUUUGUCGGAGACAUGCUGUAUUUCUUAACACUUACACACACGGGCACACGUCACACACACGUAACACACACAUGCACUUGCAAAGAUACAUGCAAAUAUACACAGCACAAAGACAUGGCGUUGGAUAAAGUAAAUCCAAGGUGUUUUACAAAUGCAAUACAGAACAAACAAACUGAGUCAUAUUUUCAUUCAUAAUAUACCCUUGUUGUUGAGUCAUGAAGCUGUUGUGAUUGGCUCCCAUGAUCCCAGAAUACUACAAUAACCUUAACUAAUUAAAGGCAUGUUUCCACGUCAUGAUCUGAUGCUGCUGUCGUCACAGUUCUAUUCACAAAGAAGGGACAGCAACGGCCAGAGUGUCCAGGUCUAAAUCUUUCUCUCCUGGUGUACACUUGCACGUGUCAGUGUAGUGUAGUGUCGGCUACACGUGAAGCUCUCCUCGGCCUCAGUGGGCAGCUAACUGGCUGCUAACUCCACUGUUUCGAACACAUAUGCCACACGGCAGAUGUUCAACAACAGAAGAGCUCCAAAAAGCAGAAAGCUUUUUCACAGCUGUGUUUUUAUUCUACACACAUUAGAGGUUGGGUCAAUAGAGCCCAGGUAUGAUCAAUAGAUUUGAUUCUGCCUGAGAGGCUGACAGAAACCAUUAUAACAGGCCACUUACAUAAUCCAGUGGAUUUCCUGUGUUCCCAUAACGUACUGUACUGGGUGGGGUGCUUUAAUCAAACAUACCACAACAACAUUGUUGUUUUAGGCCCCACUACAGUCACUGUUUGGUGGAAAAGAGCGGAAAUGGGCGCCUCCAGAGGUUGUGGAUUGUUACUGGGAAUUUGUGACCCCGUCAGAUUUGGGGUGAUCCCUGCGGUUCUCUGGUUCAGUGGAAAAAGAGUGUUCUGAUGUUGAACUCAAUGAUGGCAGGUUGCCAGUUAACCUCUCAACACUCUAAUAAUAUUACACACACACACACUACAUACGCCCACACACACAUAACAUGCACAUACAUGCAUACUGACACCACACGCACACGCACACACACACACACACACACACACACACACACACACACACACACACUCACCACAUACACUGCUGCUACUGUCUAUUAUCUAUCCUGUUGCCUAGUCACUUUACGCCUACCUAUAUGUACAGUACAUAGCUACCUCAAUAACCUUGUACCCCUGCACGUCGACUCUGUACUGGUACUCCCUGUAUAUAGCCAUGUUAUUUUCUACUCCCUGUAUAUAGCCAUGUUAUUUUCUACUCCCUGUAUAUAGCCAUGUUAUUUUC
rnacentral:lncRNA from 1 species